rnacentral:rRNA from 1 species
GCAAGUCGAACGGUAACAUUGAAGCUUGCUUCAGAUGACGAGUGGCGGACGGGUGAGUAACGCGUGGGAAUCUACCUAGUAGUUGGGGAUAGCCCGGAGAAAUCCGGAUUAAUACCGAAUAAGGUCUACGGACGAAAAGGUGCCUCUUCUUGAAAGCACUUGCUAUUAGAUGAGCCCGCGUUAGAUUAGUUAGUUGGUGGGGUAAAGGCCUACCAAGACCACGAUCUAUAGCUGGUUUGAGAGGAUGAUC